CCUACGGGCGGCAGCAGUGGGGAAUAUUGCACAAUGGGCGCAAGCCUGAUGCAGCCAUGCCGCGUGUGUGAAGAAGGCCUUCGGGUUGUAAAGCACUUUCAGCGGGGAGGAAGGCGGUGAGGUUAAUAACCUCAUCGAUUGACGUUACCCGCAGAAGAAGCACCGGCUAACUCCGUGCCAGCAGCCGCGGUAAUACGGAGGGUGCAAGCGUUAAUCGGAAUUACUGGGCGUAAAGCGCACGCAGGCGGUCUGUCAAGUCGGAUGUGAAAUCCCCGGGCUCAACCUGGGAACUGCAUUCGAAACUGGCAGGUUAGAGUCUUGUAGAGGGGGGUAGAAUUCCAGGUGUAGCGGUGAAAUGCGUAGAGAUCUGGAGGAAUACCGGUGGCGAAGGCGGCCCCCUGGACAAAGACUGACGCUCAGGUGCGAAAGCGUGGGGAGCAAACAGGAUUAGAUACCCGAGUAGUC
rnacentral:rRNA from 1 species